CAGGAGGCCUGGGGAACAAUGAGUAAGGCAGAGAGGGAACAGAGGCUUGUAGGCCACUGUGCGGACUUUGGCGUUUAGUCUGAGCUGGGGACCCACUGGAGGAUUCUGAGCAGAGCAGUGACAUGAUUGCGCUUACAUUUUUAAGACUUACUCUGGCUGCUGUGUUGAGAACAGAUGACCAUGGGGCAUAGACAGAAGCAGAAAGGGACCAAGGAGGUAAAGAGAUGGAGCAGAGUCCAAUGAGAGGGGAGAAAAACCAAGAGAGUCCAACUGAAGAAAGUUUCAGGAAGGACGCAACUGUGCCAAAUGCUGAUGAGUCUAGAAAUGAGAUCAUACUGUUUUGCUCCAGAGGACACAUGUCAUGAAGCCAGCUUCUGAGAAUGCAACUGUUUUCUCCUACAUCUAACUUAUAUAUCACAACAUGUCUAUGGUUGGCUGGAGGAAACGGAGAGAAAAUUUACAUCUGGUGGAGCAUAAAGAAACCAGCUAGAGGACUGGCCUUGUCAUUAUCUAACUGUGUUGUGACGAACUGGCACUUCCUCAUCUCUAAAAGCAGGGCCCUGAACUAGAAGACCGCCACGUCACAUGAUGAAAAACACUCAAACUAACACUUCUUACCCUUGUGAGCAGCCCUACUAGCAGAUUUAAUGUGGGAGGAGGUUCACACUACGGGAUAAAAAUCAAGUUUUAGGAUUCCAUUUUAUCUAAGCUGACCACCACAAGGCAGAGGAUCAAGACUUAGCUAAAUACAGCCCUCAGGCAAGCUUCACUUCCCCAUCUGUGAAGGGAGAAUAAAUACACAUGUUAAGAUAAAUGAGAGAGCUGGUCAAGUGUUUCGAGCUCUUUGGCAGACAAGCCUGACUUUCCAAAAAAAGACAAACCACAACUUCGGAGCCAGUGCUAUUUCUUCUGUGCAUGGUGAGGUGACUUCCCCAGUUGUAAAGGAUUUAGAGCUGAAAUUCCAUAUUGUCUGGAGCUAUAAUUACAAGUCUCUUGCACUAAAACAGAGGUCAGCUGGCCUAAAGCAUGCUGAAAGAAGGUAAAUGUCUGGUCACAUUUCCAUGUGGUAUACUCCUUUCCUAACUUUUUGGCACAAAUUUCAUGUUGAUAGAACAUUCAUUCACUCCACAAAUAUCUGGCAAGUAGGUGCUGAGUGCUGUGUAUAGACGAGUGAACACAACACAGACCCUGCCCUCAUUCUGUGUAGAGGACAGCAGAGGAGUAGGCACAGGGCUCUCAGCUAGGGCAGUACCACCCUAUGUCUGGGGGGCAUUUCGGACAUUUGGGAGGUGCUGUCAAUUGCCAAAAUGAAUGGGGAAACUCUGCUAGCAUUUAAGGGUGGGAGCCGUGGUGCCACAAUGACCUGUAUGAGGAAAACCAGCUCCAGGCCCGCAUGACUAGUGAGUGUACUGCUAGACAUUCAUAAACAUGAAAAACUCUUUUGUGGGAAAACAGCCUGUUGCAUAGCAAGAGUGAUCCAUCUUGAAGUAAAACUGCCAUGAUGACCAAUGUUUGACGCCUACAAUUCAAGGUGGUCCAGUAGCACAGAUAAGCCCUCACAACCUCCCCGUGGUCAUGAGUUUCUAAAGGAAGUCAGGGAUGAUGAGCUUCCUGUGUCUUUACCCUAAAAGCUUGCUAUAUAAAGGAUACUUUCUGGAGGUUGGUUGUGAGAAUCCACCAUCUCUUGGCCUACCUAGACAUCGUUUCUGUUUCUAAGUCUCUAUUAAAUAUUUCUUUCUGAGAA
rnacentral:lncRNA from 1 species